GCCCCCAGCGCCGCUGGCCGCCGGGGGCCUCGUGGCGCUGGCCCAGCCGCCGCCUGCUGCUCUUGCCCCCGGCUACCGGGCUGGGCGACGUGCCCUCGGCGCGCUGGCCGGGCUGCUUCUCCGCGCGCCCCAACCUCGUGUGAGCCCGCCGGGCCGGGGCCUGCGGUGCCCGGGCGGGGGCGGGGCCGGAGGGGCGGGGCCGGAGGGGCGUGGCCGCGGGGCGGGGGGAGGGGCCGGCCUGGAACGCGGGAAAGGGCUGGGGGGGGGGCCUUAAGGGGAGGCGCUGCGAAAGGCGUGGCCCACGGGGCCUGGUGCGGGGGCGGCCGCUCCCCCCCUCCCCUAAGUACGUACCCCUCCCUGCAGGUGGAAGCACCGCUGGCAGAGUCUCAAUCACGAAUUUCUGGGCAGAAGGAUGAGACGCCUGAUGCCCCUGUACCUGUGACGCCCGAGGGCAGGAUUAAGAAGAUUGAAGCCUCCUAUCAAGAGUCUCCCCAUCUCUCCUUCUCCAUGUCUCCAGUUCUCUCUACAACUGCGUCUUCUCCUUUGCCCUUGCCACAGGACAAGGUGACUGUCCUUUGAUCCCACCCCCCUUUUUCUCCUCUGGGAGUCUGUCCUGUCAGCCAUUUCUCCCUUUCUCACAUUGUUCCCCCUCUAGAAUGGAAGCUCCUGAAGGGCAGGAACUGUUUCAAUUUUGUCUUUAUGUCUCCAGUGCCUGGCUCCGGGUGGGUAUUCAAUAAAGAUUUGUUGAUUGAUUGAAUUUUUUUAUUUAUUGACUCUUUCCUUAAUGCUUACAAACUGGUCUCCUUUCUCUUUAAAGAUCCUCCACCACCGUGUUUUUUCAAACAAUCAUCCUAUUUUGUAGAGCAUACAUUUUCAGCUAGAGGUCAUCCAAUCUAGUCCAUUCUCAGAGCUCUUGCCCAAAGGCCACACAAGUAUCAAGUGGCAGAAUUAGGUUCUGAACCCAGGUCCUCUGACUCAAUCUUUCUGCUGUCCCAAGCUUCUUUCCCUCCUCACUUUCACAGCUAAUC
rnacentral:lncRNA from 1 species